UGAUUAAUAGGGACAGUCGGGGGCAUCAGUAUUCAAUUGUCAGAGGUGAAAUUCUUGGAUUUAUUCGAANACUAACUACUGCGAAAGCAUUUGCCAAGGCAUGUUUUCAUUAAUCAGGAACGAAAGUUAGGGGAUCGAAGACGAUCAGAUACCGUCGUAGUCUUAACCAUAAACUAUGCCGAUUAGGGAUCGGACGAUGUUAUUUUUUGACUCGUUCGGCACCUUACGAUAAAUCAAAAUGUUUGGGCUCCUGGGGGAGUAUGGUCGCAAGGCUGANACUUAAAGAAAUUGACGGAAGGGCACCACCAGGGGUGGAGCCUGCGGCUUAAUNUGACUCANCACGGGGAAACUCACCAGGUCCAGACACGAUGAGGAUUGACAGAUUGAGAGCUCUUUCUUGAUCUCGNGGGUGGUGGUGCAUGGCCGUUCUUAGUUGGUGGAGUGAUUUGUCAGCUUANUNGCGAUAACGAACGAGACCUUAACCUGCUAAAUAGCCCGUAUUGCNUUGGCAGUACGCCGGCUUCUUAUAGGGACUAUCGGCUC
rnacentral:rRNA from 1 species